GAUUUUAUCUCUAAAUUGAACGAAUACUACUCAAUCACUUCAGGACAAGAUGAGGGAGGAGCAGACUCACCGGCUCAGACGGCGGUUUCGGCGCUGGCAGACUCCUCCACGAAUUGGGCCACAUGUGGGAUGGCGGGGCGUGGUCUGCGUGACUCCAUGAGAUCCAUGGACAUCGGCUCUUCGUACGGCGUGGGGAUGCGCAAUGGCUCGGUGACAGAAAGCAUGUGUUGCAUGUGAAAGCAUGAGAAUUAUGGACAGUGAUUUUGACUUGCAUCCAUUCAUCCAGGUAUCUUACUUAGUAUUUAAUUUGUUAUUUUAAUAUGCAGGUGCUAAUGCGGAUAUGCAUUUCAUUCCAAG